GACGAACGCUGGCGGCGUGCUUAACACAUGCAAGUCGAGCGGAGCGGAGAACGGGUGAGGAACGCGUGAGUAACUGACCCCCUCUCUGGGAUAACAGUUGGAAAAGGCUGCUAAUACCGGAUAGUGGGGGAUGACGCGAGUCCUAUCAGCUGGUUGGUGGGGUAGUGGCCUACCAAGGGGACGACGGGUAGCCGGCCUGGGAGGGCGACCGUCCACAUUGGGCUGAGAUACGGCCCAAACUCCUACGGGAGGCAGCAGUGGGGAAUAUGGCACAAUGGGGGAAACCCUGAUGCAGCAACGCCGCGGGCGGGAUGACGGCCUUCGGGUUGUAAACCGCUUUCAUCCAUGACGCGGUAGUGGCAGAAGAAGCACCGGCUAACUACGUGCCAGCAGCCGCGGUAAUUC
rnacentral:rRNA from 1 species